GGACGCAAGUCUGAACCAGCCAUGCCGCGUGAAGGAUNAAGGNCNUCUGGAUUGUAAACUUCUUUUAUAUGGGACGAAANNNGGUNUUUCUAGACCCCNUGACGGUACCANANGAAUAAGCACCGGCUAACUCCGUGCCAGCAGCCGCGGUAAUACGGAGGGUGCAAGCGUUAUCCGGAUUCACUGGGUUUAAAGGGUGCGUAGGCGGGNANGUAAGUCAGUGGUGAAAUCCCGGAGCUCAACUCCNGAACUGCCAUUGAUACUAUCUAUCUUGAAUAUUGUGGAGGUAAGCGGAAUAUGUCAUGUAGCGGUGAAAUGCNUAGAUAUGACAUAGAACACCCAUUGCGAAGGCAGCUUACUACGCAUAUAUUGACGCUGAGGCACGAAAGCGUGGGGAUCAAACAGGAUUAGAUACCCUGGUAGUCCACGCCCUAAACGAUGNAUACUCGACAUACGCGAUACACNGUGUGUGUCU
rnacentral:rRNA from 1 species